rnacentral:tRNA from 1 species
AUUAAGUUAGUUUAAAAAAAAUAUUAAUUUGUGGAGUUAAAGAUUAAUUUUUAACUUAAUA